UGAGCCAGGAAAUGGUAGCCUAAAACAUGUGCUUCACAUGAAGCUUCUUUCUGACCUAUUGUUUAUUUUUCACAGGCUCCCUUAUCAACUCAUGGCCUAGCACUGAAAUUCCAUAACUAUUCAAUAACCAAGAAGAAUGUGCAAGGCUGUGACCAUGGAUGGUGGGAAAUUAAUGAGCACAUGUACUGUGGCUCCUACAUGGAUCACCAGACAAUUUUCCGAGUGCCCAGCUCCUUCGUUCACAUUCAGCUCCGGUGCAGUUCUAGUCUUUCGGACAAGCCACUUUUGGUGGAAUAUGGCAGUUAUAACAUCAGCCAACGUAAGCCUAGCACCAACUCCUUAGAAACCUUGAUACAAAGCCAA
rnacentral:lncRNA from 1 species